rnacentral:rRNA from 1 species
GUGCUUAACACAUGCAAGUCGGACGAUGCUUCCGGAGCUUGCUCUGGUGGAUUAGUGGCGAACGGGUGAGUAACACGUGAGUAACCUGCCCCUGACUCUGGGAUAAGCGCUGGAAACGGCGUCUAAUACCGGAUAUGCACUGUAACCGCAUGGUUUGCAGUGGGAAAGAUUUAUCGGUUGGGGAUGGACUCGCGGCCUAUCAGCUUGUUGGUGAGGUAAUGGCUCACCAAGGCGUCGACGGGUAGCCGGCCUGAGAGGGUGACCGGCCACACUGGGACUGAGACACGGCCCAGACUCCUACGGGAGGCAGCAGUGGGGAAUAUUGCACAAUGGGCACAAGCCUGAUGCAGCAACGCCGCGUGAGGGAUGACGGCCUUCGGGUUGUAAACCUCUUUUAGCAGGGAAGAAGGCUUCGGUUGACGGUACCUGCAGAAAAAGCGCCGGCUAACUACGUGCCAGCAGCCGCGGUAAUACGUAGGGCGCAAGCGUUAUCCGGAAUUAUUGGGCGUAAAGAGCUCGUAGGCGGUUUGUCGCGUUUGCUGUGAAAACUGGAGGCUCAACCUCCAGCCUGCAGUGGGUACGGGCAGACUAGAGUGCGGUAGGGGAGAUUGGAAUUCCUGGUGUAGCGGUGGAAUGCGCAGAUAUCAGGAGGAACACCGAUGGCGAAGGCAGAUCUCUGGGCCGUUACUGACGCUGAGGAGCGAAAGGGUGGGGAGCAAACAGGCUUAGAUACCCUGGUAGUCCACCCCGUAAACGUUGGGAACUAGUUGUGGGGGCCUUUCCACGGUCUCUGUGACGCAGCUAACGCAUUAAGUUCCCCGCCUGGGGAGUACGGCCGCAAGGCUAAAACUCAAAGGAAUUGACGGGGACCCGCACAAGCGGCGGAGCAUGCGGAUUAAUUCGAUGCAACGCGAAGAACCUUACCAAGGCUUGACAUAUACGAGAACGGGCUAGAAAUAGUCAACUCUUUGGACACUCGUAUACAGGUGGUGCAUGGUUGUCGUCAGCUCGUGUCGAGAGAUGUUGGGUUAAGUCCCGCAACGAGCGCAACCCUCGUUCUCUGUUGCCAGCACGUAAAGGUGGGCACUCAAGGGAUACUGCCGGGGUCAACUCGGAGGAAG